UGAACCGUGUCUCAUGAAAGAUU
rnacentral:siRNA from 1 species